rnacentral:rRNA from 1 species
UACGUAGGGGGCAAGCGUUGUCCGGAUUUAUUGGGCGUAAAGAGCGUGUAGGCGGCCAGGUAGGUCUGCUGUGAAAACUCGAGGCUUAACCUCGAGCUGUCGGCGGAAACCCUCUGGCUAGAGUCCGGAAGAGGAGAAUGGAAUUCCCGGUGUAGCGGUGAAAUGCGCAGAUAUCGGGAAGAACACCCGUGGCGAAGGCGGUUCUCUGGGACGGUACUGACGCUGAGACGCGAAAGCGUGGGAGCGAACAGG